GGCCGCGUGGCCUAAUGGCUAAGGCGCUAGAUUUCGGUUUCCCAAUCAAUCGUACUCUCUAGAGAUUCCAGGUUCGACUCCUGGCGCGGUCG
rfam:Claviceps purpurea 20.1, WGS project CAGA01000000 data, contig: scaffold00089